UUAACUAUUUUAAAUAGAAUUUAUUUCACCUUCCGAAUUCAGGUUCGUACAGAGUUUCGGGGUUUUCUUCCUUCAUUUACUUAUAAUCUCAUUUGCUAAUAAUAUCUCACAAAAUCCAAGAUCCUUGAUCUCGCUCGCACUUCACUUGGUUUUAUCUACUUUCUAGCUUCCACUUAACCUAAUCGAUUUCAUCUUCCGAUGCACAACUGAUUUAUUCUACUUUUUUGUGUGUUCAAACUUAAAUACUCUUUCGAUUUUCAUUUUCUUGUUAAUUUUUUUUUAUUAUUUUUUGCUGCAAUCUUCAGUUUUAUUUCUCUUUUUGAUUUAAAUUAAUUAUUCCACUCGUUUGCCCCUCACUUUUCCAUCCAGAUCAAUCUUAACCCUUUUCUAUCUUUCGUUCCUAAUGAUGAUGGUCGUGUUGAUGGGAUUCGCUCCCUGUGUGGUGUUGGUGGUGGUGCUGGUCGCAAAAGUGAUUGCUGGAAAGUUCCAAGCUGUGACCAUCAAUUUCCCAACUAAAACGGUAAUCAUCUGCCGGGCUCUGGCUCAAACGAUCGCAAUCAUCAUAAUGGUAAUUUAUUUUAAUGGUCCGCCUCACCUGACCCCCUGCCAGUCCGUAACCGGUCCACGUUUGCCAUUAAUCUGUCUUUUAAUUAUCAUUUGGCUUCUGGAGGGAGGAAAAACUCUUGGGUCAUGGCAGAGCCAGCGAGGAUUUAGCAGAGUGAGGUUUUGAAGAAGGAAAAAAGGCAGAGAAAAAAAAUGGGAAAUUAAAGUGGAAAAAAUCAACAAAAGGGCAAAACCAACUCCCAAAGAGCUUAAGAGAGAGAGAGAAGGGAAGAUCGUUUAUCGUCACGAAACGUCCUCUGCGCGUGAACCCAAAGUGGCCAGGACGAUUUUGUGCUAAUCCUUGGUGUCGUCUUUUGUGUUUUUGCUUUGGGGAAAAGGUGAAUAAAGGAAAGGUCUCGUCCAGCCAAACUGUCUCACCUUUCGGGGUAAUUUAAUUUAUUGCCCCCGUUGAUUUACAUUUAUUGCAAUACUUUGCUCGUUUUGUUCUGGAAGCUUCGUGAAGGGGCACGGAGGAAAAUCUUUUUACGGACUUACAAGUUAUCCUCAAAUUAUACCUCCCACUUUUGUCAAUUGUUCUCGAAAAAAUAUGAGGUGAACCCCAGAAAAUAUAAAUUUAAAAUGCAGAAGUACAUUGAAUAAAUAUAAAAGUUAAAAAAAUAGCUAAAUCUUUCAAAGCAAAAAAAGAUAGAUAACUACGUGUUGAAUCCCAACAAGCCCCCCAAAAAAACAAAAA